rnacentral:rRNA from 1 species
UACGAAGGGGGCGAGCGUUGUUCGGAAUCACUGGGCGUAAAGGGCGCGUAGGCGGCCCUCCUUGUCGCGUGUGAAAGCCCCGGGCUCAACCUGGGAACGGCGCGCGAGACGGGGGGGCUGGAGUUCGGGAGAGGGAUGCGGAAUUCCAGGUGUAGCGGUGAAAUGCGUAGAUAUCUGGAGGAACACCGGUGGCGAAGGCGGCAUCCUGGACCAACACUGACACUGAGGAGCGAAAGCCAGGGGAGCAAACGGG